AAACUUUUUCACUUUUAGUAUCAGGCAUCACACCCUGACCUUAACCACCGUCUGUCUGGGGCAGGCUAACCACACAGCUUGACAGAAAAGAACCUUUCCCCACUUCAGGACCAUCUAUUUUACGGUGUGUUUACGGGCGAACAAACAUUACGUGGCGUUUCAUUGACCUCAGGGGAAAGAGAGAGCUGAAGAGAGAGAGAGUCCAGAGAGGGGGAGCUGUGGAUCUCCUUUCCAGUCCGACUCCACCAUGUGAACAGCAGCAGAAUGAGCUGGUUAUGGUCUCCUUGCCUGAGAGGGGAGUCAGGUCUGCCUGCUGCCAUCGCUGAUUUACAUUCCUCUGGCUUCACCCUCAUCCAGCCAUUCACACAGCAGCUGGUGCAGGAAGGCUGCACACAAACACACAGUUGCACACAUAUACACUAAAUAAACUGUGGAAAGAAGUGCAUGUACACUUUCAGCAGUCACAAUUUACAAUUUUUACAUUGGAGGGCAAAUAUGAUUUGCUGAGAUCACAGAUACAGUAUAUUGGUAUCAGCCUAUAUGUUGGCAGAUAUGCAGUCUAGUCAUUUGUUAAAGUAACAACAACAUUUCAAUAAAUCUGUGUCUAUGUUUUAUGCUUAUAUUUAAUAAAUUAAUAGAUUUUUAUUUUUUAUUAUUUUCAAUUAUCAGUAAUGGCUUCAAAAAUGGGUAUGGGUCAGGCUCUAAUUACAUUAACUUAAUCACUUGCCCCGUCACUGUUGCUACAUCAAGCUCUCUGUUCUUGCAUGGCACAUAUGCAUUUUACAAUAAUAACGGUGGAAGAUUUACCACUUGUAGUACUUAUAGUAUUUUUUAAACAAUGGCUUCUUUAUUUCACACAGAAUUAAACAAAAGCUGGCUUCUCAUUUCUAGCUGACAACCGUCAAUUUUGUUGGCUAGAAAUGACGCCUGUUCCUUGUAGAUGUUAUCAGCUGUAGCUAGCUAGCUAAUUAUCUCUGUGAGUUAGAGACAAAAACUCUGUCUGCAGCUUAGUUUUUAAUGUUUCCAGCUCACUUGUUUUAAAGCAAUAGCUGUGUAAAAGGAUAUUAUAUACACCUGAUGGCUACAUACAUGACAUGCUAAAAGACUGAGGUUAAAGCUCAAGUCUAAAAGUCAGCAUCUAUUCUUCACCAGUUAAUAACCCCUGUAGAUGACAUCAUGGAAAUAAAAGAGCAGUAUUGUAGAAUAGCUAUUCUGCCUACAGUAUCAUGAAUAAAAAUAUAAUUAAAAUGUCCUUAUACCUCUUUAUAUCUUUAUACAAGAGAAACGUUUUCUAUGAUGAGGACUAACUGAUUAGCAAACAUAACGCUCAGAUAAUGUUGACUGCGUUUGCUGGAAUGUAAACUUACCCACAUCAAAUACAGAGCACAAAGCUGUAAACAUUACCCUAAACUGCAUCCCACACAGUAGAUUUGUCUGAACUGGUCUGUAAACCUAUGUAAUAAGCUAGCUAAUGAUAUGCUCCUCCACUUUUGUAACGCCAUGUUACUAGGUAGUAAGCUAGUUAGCCAAGCUUGCUAACGUUUGCAGCUUAUGUUAGAGCAGAUAACGUUACAGUUAGCACACAUUUUCAUUCUUGCGUUUUUGGUUUUUGGAAAGGCUACCCCUUACAAACUCUUUAAACCUGCAAUAAAUUAUUUUUUUGGCCACCUGGGGCAGCAGAACCAAGUUGUGAACACAAUACAUAGACAUAUGAUCACCUUUUAAGUUCAUAUGGUGAACUUGUUACGGAGCAACAUUAUCAUUCAAUUUGAAGUCAUGUUUCUGUCCACCUGAUGAAUGUUUAAUCACACCUUCCCCUGCUGUCACAGCUCUGCUCUCCCUGGGCCACAGUCCCAAUCCUAUCAGGCUGAAACAGGAACAAAGACCGCUGUCCCUCGCUUCAUACUCCCUCCAUCCCCGCUUUCACCCCACACCAAUCUCUAAAAAAUCCCCUCUUGGUCGUGGUCCUCACCUCUGUGCGACCUGCCGGAGCUCAUAAUCCAAACUCAUUUUGAAGGCAGAAAAGUCCCGGGAGCAUCAGCAUCAUCCAGCCCCACUCUGGCUGGUCCACUCUUGGAGCAGAUUGACUCUUUAAUCAUGCAGAUCACAACCACCUAAGUGACAAGUGUGUUUGUGUCUCUAUAUAUUGCUUCUUCUGCUGUGUGGUGUUUACUUGACAAUACCUGAUGAAGAUCACUGUUAGAUUGAAAUGUUGUUCUAUUCACUUAAAUCUGCUGGGAGCUGCUUGAAUAACGUCUCACGUUAGAGUGUUUUACUCCUCCCAUUAAAAUGUUUGAAAAAUG